UGCUUUACUACAUCCCUUUGUAUAUCUGGACUUAUUUGUAGAUUCCAUAUUACACACAGUUGGCUUGGUCAGGCUGGGCAUCAGAACCAAGCUGCAGCUGGGGCCGUGUUGGUCAGGAGAUGGAGUGUGAAGCAAACAGUCGAGCGAGCCCUGGGGUAGGGGAUGUCCCCGAGAGCCAGUCCCUGGCUCCAGGAUAUUGGCUGGACAAGGGGUUGAGUUUUAGGCUUCUCAGAAUUUCAAUAAACCCGUUGGAAGAAAAGGGCCACAACAGGAUAGCUGAUUCACCUGGGAAAAUCCAAACCACCUGACUGACAAGUGGUGGAGAGGAGGCGGUGCCACUGGGAGCAGCUGCCUGGAAAGGAGAACCAGGUAAGAGCAGCCGGGCUGGAGGUUGUGCUUGCUGAAGGGGACAGAUGAAAGCCACAGCUGAGUUCCUUCUGGUUCGCAUGUCUAGGAAGCCAGUGUCUGUCCUCCAUGUCACCGAAGUUGGACCACGGUUCACUCAGUGAGGUUAUUCUUGGUGGCUGGUUCUCGGCACUGCGCUCUGGACUGCCCUGGUGAGUUGCUUGGUCCUGUGAAAAGCCACCUCUUUCUCUUGCAGAGGUGAGCUUGAUAUUUUCUUUCCUUUACAGUUGCCCCAAGGUCAAGGGUAUUAAUGGCCCAGUUUUUUAAAUUCUUGAUCUGCUAAUCCCAUCUGUAGAGUAGCUACCACUUCAGCAAAGAACUGCCUCAGCUUACAGAGCUAUCAACUUGGAAAGGUUUAAAAAACAAGACUAGAGUAGGUGAGAGCCCUGAACUAGGACUGAAGAGAGCCACGUUCGAUUUCUAAUAAUAGAGCGGAGUGGACUAUGCUUGAGCUCUGAAGUCAGGUUGCCUGAGUUCAAAAUUCUGGCUCUGUCAGUAGCUGGUAAUCUCGGGCGAGUUACUUCCCUCAGCCUCAGUGUCCUCAUCUAUAAAAUGAGGAUAAUAGUAGCUUUAACCACAUGACGUGUCUGUGAAGACUAAAGGAAAUAAUGCUUAUAAUGCACUUGACCUCAGGACCAAGGGAGCACUCAGGUGCCAACUGUCGUCAUCUACGUAGAGCACGUGACCAGGGCUGAAUCUGCAAGACGGAAAAAUCCGGCUCCUGCGGCCGUCUCCAGACUGCGUGAGGGUGGACUUCUGGGUAUCUCACAAAUGCUUCCCACCUCUGAGGUGUGCCCUCCCUGUACAAGGCAGAGUGAAUAAAGAGACGGCAGGGGACCCCAGAACUGGAGUGACACACUCCAGGGUUCAAAACCGGAGAAUGCACCUUAGAUCUGUCAUCAGCCGGAGUGAGACUGUGUCAUCCCCUCCCUCUGCUACUCAGUGGCAUCUCUAAACUUUGGGCACUUGGUGCUCUGCCUGGCAGAAUUGUUCAGAAGCCCCCAUGGUGUUGUUACUUAAAGUGGAUCCUUGGCCAUGCCCUGGGGGUGCUUGUUAAAAGGAUUCCUGGGCUCGAGCUCUGACCUGCAGCAUACCUCGGCCCACCAGCCAGAGUCGGGCUGUUUUAACAAGCUCUCCCAGGUGAUUCUCAUGCACUCAGGUUUGACUCCCAACAGCAAAGUAACCCAGGGAACAAAAGGAAGCUCUUGGGGAAAGUGAGUCACAGCUGAAUUAGCCAGGUGGGUCUGAGACCGGGCUCUUUAAGGCUGCACUCGGGGAAAGGGGGCGGAGAGGGGCUUGUUAAACAGUCCUAUUAAUAGGACUGCCUUGAUGGUGUUUCCCUUCUCCCCGUGGGUUUCCAACACUAGUGAGGGCUGCCCUGCCACCUGUUUUUGAAGCCCUAGGCAAGGGUGAUAUCAUGGGGCAGCACCCAUUUUUAUGCCACACACUGGCUGUCCUCUGUCACCAGGCAGGUUUAUAAGCCAGCCAGAGCAAGGCUAUCUCUCAGGCCUGUUUGCCAGGCUCUGUUCUGGACAGCCUCCGGGAACAUGAAACGAGAGCUUUUCUUUGCUCAAAACAGUUUCUCUAGCCUGAGGAGGAAACCCAGGUAGGGAAAAGGAGUUUACCAGCCUCUACAUUUGGAUGCACAGUGGAAAAACCAUGGUAGGAACUAGGACCCUUCUGAAGCACUGCUGAAUCAUGAACGGGCAAAGACAGUGUCCUUCACUUGUGGGGUUCGAUAGUUUGGGGUUUACUAAGGCACGGGCUUAAUUAAUACAUCCCCACACUUGCCGUGAGAAGGGGAUAAACAAAAAUAUUUUCUAGUUCAUUUCUCAGGUAGAGAAUCCGAUUGGCCAAAUAAUCAUUCCCGGACCGGGUUUGAGAAGCAGGCUUAGCUGUACGCAGGACUGAUGGCAUCAGGCCCCUGCUCGAGUUCUGGAGGCUCUCCCAGCAAACAUCAUUACCCAGCUGGGGGCAGAGAAAGCUUCCCAUUAAGUUGGGCUGGUGAUGAGCACUCUGCCCGCCUGCCUGGCUUUCUUCUUGGAUGUGCCCGAGAAGUAGGAGGGAGGAACAUCAGCCGCCUGGCCCCGUCCUCUGAACCUCCUGCACCAGCUGGUAAAAAGCAGAGGCAAAGAGGUUGUUGCGAGGAAGUGAAAGAGGAUGUCCAAGAACCAGUCAGGCAUGCCGGGCUGGAGUGGAGAAGGCUGGCUCUGGUCAGCUCCCGGGAAGACUGCCUCACCGGCGCCUUGCUUGUGACUCACGCAGCAUCACACUCUGCACGGGGGUGGCAUGCAUUUGGUGCAGGGGGCGUUGCUCUAUGCCAGGGACCUGACAGACAGUGGGCAGCGGGUGAGAAGGGUGAGGUGAGCCUGCCCCUGCUGUUCGCUGUCACCAUCCUUGUCCUGGUGGAAGAUGGGAGCAGGCAUUCAGGGCCUCGGUCAUCCACCGCUGGAGCUAACUUGUGCAUGUUCAGCUACUGCUCCCCACCCCCGAGGCUGCCCAUUUCAGAGACCUGGGGUGCUGGAAGCACAUGGGCUUUGGAGGCAGCAGAUCUGGGUUCAGGUUCAGACUCCACUACCUGAUAGCUAGGAAACCUUGGGUGAGUCACUUAAGCUCUCUGACCUGUUUCUCCAGUUGUAAAAUGCAGACACACACCUGCCUCACCCACCUCAUGAGGUUGAGUCAAGGAUCAAAUGAGGAGGGACAGUGACCAGGAGGCGCUCUCUCAGGGGUUGUUUGGAUGGAGGUGACAAGAACGAUCAGCAUCCUUCAGGCAGAAGAGAAAGUUUGCUGCCCCCUGGUGCAAAUCGUGGAAGAACAAAAUAUUAGCAAAAUACUUCCCCAAAAUGAAUACCUGCGGCCCCAAAUGAAAGCAACACUGAACAGCCCUCCAUCAUAGACCUCCGUAUCCUUGUAUUAACAUCAAGCCCUAUUAUCAGCGUUAGGAGAGCAGACUUUCAUUGUACCGAACUUAUCCCAGACGGUGAACGAGACAUCCUAUGUCUUUGUUAAGAUUUGGUCUCUGCAGUGCCUGUAUCUUAGUAGCCCUGGCCACAGAGGGUCUAGGAAGCCUGCAGGCCUAAGAACAGUCAUUUCCCACCCCAGCCAUUACCCUUUCCUCUGACUCGGGAUGCUGAAGCUACUGGCUAUUUCCUGCACGUAGCCCAGUGACCCUCUUCUAUAAGGAGGUGGGAUCAAUGUAAACAUGGUGGGAAGAAGAGACAAGUUCUUUUGCUUUCAUAAUGGAAUGUCAGCAUUGUUAUCUGUACACCUCUGACUUCUGAUGCCAAUGGAUUCCACUUCUACAACAAUGUAGUGCACUCAGGAAGCUCCAUGUUUAGUUCCCGGCUAUCAAGCUCCCGCCAGAAGCACAGCAUAGUUAAUAGUGGUGAAAUAGCCAGGGUCACGUAAGCAAGCACCCUGCCGGGGGCUUCUAAACGCCAUCUCUCUGCCAAGUUAAAUCACCAGGAGGCAACGUACCAAAAUCUAAGGCUAGUCCUCCAUGGUAGGACGUCGUGGAACUGUUAUUUAAUAUUACGGCCUCUGCUUUUGUGUGAGGUCUUCCUGAGAAGUGGCUUCCUCAAGGACACUCCUGCAUUGUCACAACACAGUGGCCAGAAGCUAACUAGUGGCUUCUAACUCAGAAACGACACCACGAACAGAGGGCAGUUUAGGAAUACUGUUGACUGGUAUUGUUAUCUCAGGCAAGUCCACGCUGGCUUAUCCACGAGGUCCCCCUUCUGCUCACCGUAGGGUCUGGAAGGCUUCCCAACUUACACAGCAUUCAAGGUGGGUCCAAGAUCGUUCCAAGGGGGACGUUGGGGCCCAUCUGGAUAUAGAGAUCUGUAGCCGGCUUAUAUUUCUUUAUCGAUAGGGGAAAUAUUUAUUUGGGGCAACCUACCUUGAAUGCUGUGUAAGUGCCUCCGACUUAAGGAUCCACGUGAUAAAUCUGAGAAUCUACCUGCAGGACCCACUUUGAAUGCUCUGUAAGUUGGGAAACCUCCAGACCCGAAUGGGAGCAGAGCGAAGCCUCAUGGAUAUGCCAGUGUAAACUCCCCUACCCUUUGGGGCCCACCUCAAAUCCUCCCUCCUUGGUAUAAAGCCAGUUCAGACUGAAGCAAUCCCUUCUGUCUCUUAACCACACCAAUUAUCACUGCAAUUAAUCUCGUAAUACCUUGAGGCUAGUGGUGGUAGAGCGUCUGGCUUUUUGUUGUAGCGAUGGGAAGGGUGCAUUUCAAUAUGUUGCUUUGUCGCCUGAACUUUUGUUAUCCCAGCAAAAAACAGCAUGGGGGCAGGAAUUGCAUUCCAGGACGUGGCUCUGGCUCAUGCUCCACCUCUGAGGGUACCCUCUCCUUUCCUGUCAAGGAGGGGCAGGCCACAGAGCACCCGCCUUCUUGGCUUCUCCCUGGGAGAGGGUCUCUGCCCAGACGAGGAACGCCGGGUGACACAGGAUUCCAACCCGUCCCUGUGACAGCCGCCCUGCCCCGGCCAGGACGUCACCCACCCCACCUGCUGCUGAGUGCCUGCGUGAGGGCUCUGGAGCGCAGUCCCUGCUCGUAGCCAGGUGGAGGAGACAGACUCCCAGACCCUGAAACUGUGUAUGGAGUGCUGGGACAAACGGAAGUGUUCCAGCGCGCUUUUCCCCUCCUUGUCCUCGACUGGAGAAAGGGAUGUGAGGGAGGAAGGUAAGUCAGACCUCUUCGUAACUACCGACUCGCCCGGCCUGCAGUCGCACACAGGAGGAGACUGGCGACCCACGAGCAAGCUGCAGAACUCCGAACGCUGGGCACUCGGAAGGAAUUUUCUUGGUACCAGUCACAAAUGAGAGACAUCAUAGAAAAGGUUAUUCUUUUACUAUUUCAAGGAGGUAAUACAUAGCCCAAUACACCAAAGCACUAGGGAAUUAGAGGCAGCAGAUGGCCAGCGUUUUUGAGACGAGCCUUAUGCUGCAUCUCCAGGCCCCCAUCUGCCCACAGCCCAUGGCUGCUUAUGGAAAGGCCAGACCGGCGACUUGGAGCUUGCUGUGACCGUAGCAGUGGACAAGUGAGCCAACUCCUCAAGACCCCACUGACUGAGAAAGGGUUCUUCUGUGAGGGCAGCAGAGGCCCUGCCAGGCUGAACACAGCAGGCAGCGCUCAGCCCUGCCGCGGCCAGGUUUACGCGGCUACUGCCUCAGCAGCACCCAGCUUAUCUAGUGCUUGGCUUUAUUUCUCUGAGCCUGGAGUGGGCAGGAUGUAAAUAAAUCCUGAGUCAGAAAUUAAGGUGAAAGUCCUUCUUAGUAGUGUUAAUAAUUGGGGUGAGAAAAGACAACACCGUCUUUGAGGAGGGUGGGCUGGGAGUCGGUGGAAGACAGAUGGAAACAGACUGGCCACAGGCUGAA